rnacentral:rRNA from 1 species
UGGCUCAGGAUGAACGCUGGGCGGCGUGCUUUAACACAUGCAAGUCGAACGAAGCAAUUUGGAGUGCUUUGCACUUUGAUUGACUGAGUGGCGGACGGGUGAGUAACGCGUGGGUAACCUGCCUCACACAGGGGGAUAACAGUUGGAAACAGCUGCUUAAUACCGCAUUAAGCGCACGGUACCGCAUGGUACAGUGUAGAAAACUCCGGUGGUGUGAGAUGGACCCGCGUCUGAUUAGCUAGUUGGUAAGGUAACGGCUUACCAAGGCGACGAUCAGUAGCCGGACUGAGAGGUUGAACGGCCACAUUGGGACUGAGACACGGCCCAGACUCCUACGGGAGGCAGCAGGUGGGGGAUAUUGCACAAUGGGGGAAACCCUGAUGCAGCGACGCCGCGUGAGUGAAGAAGUAUUUCGGUAUGUAAAGCUCUAUCAGCAGGGAAGAAAAUGACGGUACCUGACUAAGAAGCCCCGGCUAACUACGUG